UUAAACAGCCCACUCUUUGUGGCAGUCCCCGCUUACAGCCUUGUCUGAUCUCGGAAGCGAAGCAGGGUCGGUCCUGGUUAGUACAUGGAUGGGAGACCACUUGGGAAUACCAGGUGCUGUUAGCU
rnacentral:rRNA from 1 species